UACAGAGGGGGCAAGCGUUGUUCGGAAUUACUGGGCGUAAAGGGCGCGUAGGCGGCCUGCUAAGUCGAACGUGAAAUCCCUGGGCUCAACCCGGGAACUGCGUCCGAUACUGGUUGGCUUGAAUCCGGGAGAGGGAUGUGGAAUUCCAGGUGUAGCGGUGAAAUGCGUAGAUAUCUGGAGGAAUACCGGUGGCGAAGGCGGCAUCCUGGACCGGCAUUGACGCUGAGGAGCGAAAGCCAGGGGAGCAAACGGG
rnacentral:rRNA from 1 species